GGUGAUCCUGUGCCGGCAUCAGGGGUGAGGCAGGGGGUGCAAGCGUUGUUAGGAAGUAUUGGGCGUACAGGGGGCGUAGGCGGCGCGGGAAGGCACCUGUGAAAGCUCCUGGCUUAACUGGGAGGCGGCAGGCGAAACUACCGUGAUGGAGGGUGGGAGAGGUGCGUGGAAUUCCCGGUGUAGCGGUGAAACGCGUAGAUAUCGGGAGGAACACCUGUGGCGAAAGCGGCGCACUGGACCAUAACUGACGCUGAUGCGCGAAAGCUAGGGGAGCAAACAGGAUUAGAUACCCUGGUAGUC
rnacentral:rRNA from 1 species